CCUGAAGCUCAAGCGGAGCCCGCUGGCCGCAGGGGCCGCACCACGCCCCAGACCCUGGAGUUUCCGGGUGCGCAGACCCUUGUCGUCAGCAGAGGCUGCCGCUGCGCGUCCCCUAGGCGCGGAAGAGGCGGCUGGUGGUCCCUGAUGGCAAGGUUUUAUACAUUACGAAGGCACGUUUCCAUUUCUCCUGGGCAAAUAUUUAGAAGAAAAGUUGCUGGGUAAUUGGUGGAGACAAGGUUUCGCCACAUUGACUGGGCUGGUCUCGAACUCCUGAGCUCAAGCAACCCGCCCUCCUUGACCUCCCAAAGUGCUAGGAUUACAGGAAAGCACUGGAGAAGAGAGAAGACAAGAGAAACAGGUCCAUGGUGACAGGAGCCUAGGAAUAGAGCAGGCCUUCAGUCUUGGUGAAAAAAUAAAUGGUAUUCUAAGCCUUCCUUUGGACAUUAAUUCAGUACUACCCACUCUUUUUCUCUUGUCCAUUCCUCCCUUACAUUUUUUUUAUAAAAUGAAGAACUCAAUCCCUUAUUUUUUUUUCUAUCCUUCAAGUGAGGGGCAAGAACAAAGAGUGUGGGGGAGAUUUUUUUUUUUUUUUUUUGAGACGGAGUCUUACUCUGUCGCCCAGGCUGGAGUGCAGUGGUGCUAUCUCGGCUCACUGCAACCUCCGCCUCCCAGGUUCAAGCGAUCCUCCUGCCUCAGCCUCCCAAGUAGCUGGGACUACAGGCCCGCGCCACCGCAUGCAGCUAAUUUUUUGUAUUUUUAGUAGAGACGAGGUUUCAACAUGUUGGACAGGAUGGUCUUGAUCUCCUUUUUUUUUUUUUUUUUUUUGAGACGGAGUCUCACUCUGUUGGCCAGGCUGGAGUGCAGUGGCGUGAUCUCGGCUCACUGCAAACUCUGCCUCCCAGGUUCACGCCAUUCUCCUGCC
rnacentral:lncRNA from 1 species